AGCUGGAUAGCUAAGUUGGUAGAACAUGAGACACUUAAUCUCAUGGCCAUGGGUUCAAGCGCCAUGUUCGGCAA